GUGCCAGCCGCCGCGGUAAUACGUAGGGUGCAAGCGUUAAUCGGAAUUACUGGGCGUAAAGCGAGCGCAGACGGUUAUUUAAGUCAGGUGUGAAAUCCCCGAGCUCAACUUGGGAAUGGCGCUUGAAACUGGGUAACUAGAGUGUGUCAGAGGGGGGUAGAAUUCCACGUGUAGCAGUGAAAUGCGUAGAGAUGUGGAGGAAUACCGAUGGCGAAGGCAGCCCCCUGGGAUAACACUGACGUUCAUGCUCGAAAGCGUGGGUAGCAAACAGGAUUAGAUACCCUGGUAGUCCACGCCCUAAACGAUGUCAAUUAGCUGUUGGGGUACUUGAUGCCUUAGUAGCGUAGCUAACGCGUGAAAUUGACCGCCUGGGGAGUACGGUCGCAAGAUUAAAACUCAAAUGAAUUGGCGG
rnacentral:rRNA from 1 species